CGAAUUUCCUCAUCCUAGUCAACAGUUAAAAUGGCAUUUUAUAACAAACUUGGGAGUCUCACAAGGCAGAGUGCAUCUCAGAGUGGGAAAGUUUCAGUAUCACAUAUGCUUAAUUUUGUUCGCCACAUGUCAUCAAAACUUUUUAUUGGAGGACUCUCGUAUGGAACUGAUGAUCGAUCUCUUAAGGAGGCAUUUGAAAGUUUUGGUGAUGUAGUUGAAGCAAGGGUAAUUGUUGACAGAGACUCUGGGAGGUCGAGGGGUUUUGGGUUUGUCAACUUCUCAAGCGAUGAUUGUGCAAGCUCUGCACUGUCAGCCAUGGAUGGCAAGGAGCUGAAUGGUCGGAACAUUCGUGUAAGCUAUGCCCAAGAUAACAGAUCAAGUGGCCCCCGUUCAUUUCGUGGGGAUGGAGGUUUUGGUGGCAAUUCUGGAUACUAAGCAGUUGCUGGUUCCAUUGAUGGGCAUGUUCUUUAGCUGGCUACUUGUUUGGGCUAAAUGUUAUUUGUUUACUUUAUUUUUCGGAUUUACAAGACUUUGGAAUUACCAUGUGCUUUCAGUACCAAUUUUUGCAAGUUAUGCUAUAUAGUUCUAAGGGGUAUACGUUUUUGGGUUGAGGAAUAUGGCAUCUGUUGGUUAUUGGGUAUGUCCUACGGAUGACUAUUACCUCCAUUUGGCUAAGAUAUUCCCAUUUGUUUCAGCUACUUUCUAGACUUUCCAUGUUCAUCGCCUGGCCAUACUGGUCGCGAGAUCGUGUGUAAAAUUUAGAGCUGUGAAAAAAACCUACCUAUGUUAUCCAGAAAAUAUGUUUCAUAGUAAUGUUGUGUUUGUUCAAGUGAUCCAUAUGGUCU